rnacentral:rRNA from 1 species
GAUGAACGCUGGCUACAGGCUUAACACAUGCAAGUCGAGGGGAAACGACGGGGAAGCUUGCUUCCCCGGGCGUCGACCGGCGCACGGGUGAGUAACGCGUAUCCAACCUGCCUCUGACUGAGGGAUAACCCGUCGAAAGUCGGCCUAAUACCUCAUGGCAUCGUCUGCGGGCAUCCAACGACGAUUAAAGAUUUCAUCGGUCAGAGAUGGGGAUGCGUCUGAUUAGCUUGUUGGCGGGGUAACGGCCCACCAAGGCGACGAUCAGUAGGGGUUCUGAGAGGAAGGUCCCGCACAUUGGAACUGAGACACGGUCCAAACUCCUACGGGAGGCAGCAGUGAGGAAUAUUGGUCAAUGGGCGAGAGCCUGAACCAGCCAAGUAGCGUGCAGGAUGACGGCCCUAUGGGUUGUAAACUGCUUUUAUGCGGGGAUAAAGUGAGGGACGUGUCCUUCAUUGCAGGUACCGCAUGAAUAAGGACCGGCUAAUUCCGUG